AUUGAACGCUGGCGGGAGGCCUAACACAUGCAAGUCGAACGAGUGGCGGACGGGUGAGUAAUGUCUGGGAAACUGCCCGAUGGAGGGGGAUAACUACUGGAAACGGUGGCUAAUACCGCAUACCAUCGGAUGUGCCCAGAUGGGAUUAGCUAGUAGGUGGGGUAACGGCUCACCUAGGCGACGAUCCCUAGCUGGUCUGAGAGGAUGAUCAGCCACACUGGGACUGAGACACGGCCCAGACUCCUACGGGAGGCAGCAGUGGGGAAUUUUGCACAAUGGGCGCAACCCUGAUCCAGCCAUCCCGCGUGUAUGAUGAAGGCCUUCGGGUUGUAAAGUACUUUCAGUCGGGAGGCGUUACCGACAGAAUAAGCACCGGCUAACUCCGUGCCAGCAGCCGCGGUAAUAC
rnacentral:rRNA from 1 species